GCCAAUAGAAAUAGAUAUGAUUGUAGGAAAAGAUCGGGAAGGUUUCUUUACCAACGGCUUGACCCUUGGCGCGAAGAAGUGCUCAGUGAUCAGAGAUAGUCUCUACGUUGAUGGUGACUGCACAAUGGACAUCCGGACAAAGAGUCAAGGUGGAGAGCCAACAUACAACGUUGCUGUCGGCAGAGCUGGUAGAGUCUUGGUCUUUGUAAUGGGAAAAGAAGGGGUCCAUGGAGGCGGAUUGAAUAAGAAGGCAUACUCAAUGGCAAAAUACUUGAGAGACUCUGGGUUCUAGCUGCUAGGCAGACUGUUAAGUAUUAGGGGAAAAUUGCUCUUAAACUUUCCUAGCUGUAAGCUUGAGUCUUAAUUCUGGAAAUUUUAUUAGCAAUGCAGGGUGAUGGGGUAUGAACCUGUGUCUCCUUUGUAUCCCUCUGUUGGUGGGGAAAGGUGUCUUUCUUUCUGCCCUCCCCCCCUUAAAUAAUUCUGUUCACUUUUGUUUUGUUUCCUUGUGUACUCCAGCAUUGGUUAUAGUCAUGGGAAAGGAAGGUGUCCACGGAGGCACACUUAACAAGAAAGCAUAUGAACUCGCUUUAUACCUGAGGAGGUCUGAUGUGUAAGCAGCCUCUCCCCAUCUGCCUAGCAACUGUCUUCAUCACCACCCCAGUUACGGUCACAGUGCUACCAGACUAUAGAUGGUAGCUGGUCUUUCGUUACCUAUUUUCUAAUGUCACAAUUCCUGUAUGUCCAAUGGAUCAUUUGUAUGUUAACCAUUGUAUGUAACCAAACUUUAUCUGGCAAAAUAAUUGCAGCACAAUAAUGAUUUGCAUGAUACCUUGAAAUUUGGGGGGAGGGGGCAUGCCAAGUUGGGCAUCACUUUGUCUUAGCAAUUAAUGAGAUACUGAUUACUAAAAAAUAAGGUAAUAUUAAGCAAGGUGCCGGUUGUACAAUCUCUGAUUUGAUCAAUGUCUUUUCAGCACUUUUGAGCAUUUACUUGGCUCAUUUCAGUCUUCCUUUUGUUGCGCAUGGUUGGGAGGAAAACAUGCAUGCAUCUUUCCUUCACUACUCUCUUCUCAUCUCUCCUGUCGCACACAAAGUACAUUUGGGUUGCUUCCAUCUUAAUGCAGUGCCUGGUUUAUUGAACCAAUUAAAAGCCCUUUUGUUGAGAGUUGGAGUAGUUUGUUUUCAGUGUGGUUGCACUUGAAACCACAGUCGUUGCCUCACUUGGUACCUCUAGGACAUACUAAGAGUGCAACUACAGAACCCAGAGCAAAGGCACUUCCUCCCGUGACCUCACAGUAACCACGCUGAUUGAUCCCCAGGGACAUUCCAUCACAAUAGCUCAAAUUUUUAUUCCUGUCUUUUCUUUGCACACCAGCUCUACUCUUUAGUAAAAUUGUGAAAGGCUGCCAUUACGGACAUUAGGUAUCCCCAGUAACCGUCUGGAGUGUGUCCAGUUUGUUCUUCAUAGGACCAAUUUUUAUUUGCAGCUUGAGUUUUUCUAUGAAGUUGCAUUAUUGUGGACUUGGCUGUCUUGUGAUGAAUUUUUUCAUAUGUAUUCCGUGCCAUACUAUUGUUAAAAUGAACUGUUGCUAUUGUGAGAUGGACUUUAACUGACCUAUUAAGGAUUUCUUUGGAAUGGCACUACUUUAGGGACAUUCUAGUAUUUGCUUCUAUUGUUUGGGCCUUGUGGAUAAUGUACAGAUUUAAAAACAAAUCUUGUUGCUGAUUUGUCCAUUUCUUUCCCUGCACUUUGUUACAUCUGGGAUACAGUCUAACUCAUCUGAUUUAAUAUGCAUUUAAAAAAAUGCCAUAACUAUUAAACACCUUGUUUACAGACAGAUGAAAUAAAUUUAUUCCAACCAAA